rnacentral:rRNA from 1 species
GACGAACCGUGCGAACGUUAUUCGGAAUCACUGGGCUUAAAGCGCGUGUAGGCGGGAUGGCACGUCGGUCGCUGAAAGCCCCCGGCUCAACCGGGGAAGUGGCGCCGAUACGACCACCCUGGAGGGACGUAGGGGGACCUGGAACUUCCGGUGGAGCGGUGAAAUGCGUUGAGAUCGGAAGGAACGCCCGUGGCGAAAGCGAGGUCCUGGACGUCUGCUGACGCUGAGACGCGAAAGCCAGGGGAGCGAACGGG